rnacentral:rRNA from 1 species
GACGUAGGGCGCGAGCGUUGUCCGGAUUUAUUGGGCGUAAAGAGCUCGUAGGUGGUUUGUCGCGUUUGUCCGUGAAAACUCACAGCUCAACUGUGGGCGUGCGGGCGGAUACGGGCAGACUGGAGUACUGCAGGGGAGACUGGAAUUCCUGGUGUAGCGGUGGAAUGCGCAGAGUAUCAGGAGGAACACCGGUGGCGAAGGCGGGGUCUCUGGGCAGUAACUGACGCUGGAGGAGCGAAAAGCGUGGGGGAGCGAACAGG